GACGAACGCUGGCGGCGUGCUUAACACAUGCAAGUCGAGCGGAAAGGCCCUGCUUUUGUGGGGUGCUCGAGUGGCGAACGGGUGAGUAACACGUGAGUAACCUGCCCUUGACUUUGGGAUAACUUCAGGAAACUGGGGCUAAUACCGGAUAGGAGCUCCUGCUGCAUGGUGGGGGUUGGAAAGUUUCGGCGGUUGGGGAUGGACUCGCGGCUUAUCAGCUUGUUGGUGGGGUAGUGGCUUACCAAGGCUUUGACGGGUAGCCGGCCUGAGAGGGUGACCGGCCACAUUGGGACUGAGAUACGGCCCAGACUCCUACGGGAGGCAGCAGUGGGGAAUAUUGCACAAUGGGCGGAAGCCUGAUGCAGCAACGCCGCGUGCGGGAUGACGGCCUUCGGGUUGUAAACCGCUUUCGCCUGUGACGAAGCGUGAGUGACGGUAAUGGGUAAAGAAGCACCGGCUAACUACGUGCCAGCAGCCGCGGUGAUACGUAGGGUGCGAGCGUUGUCCGGAUUUAUUGGGCGUAAAGGGCUCGUAGGUGGUUGAUCGCGUCGGAAGUGUAAUCUUGGGGCUUAACCCUGAGCGUGCUUUCGAUACGGGUUGACUUGAGGAAGGUAGGGGAGAAUGGAAUUCCUGGUGGAGCGGUGGAAUGCGCAGAUAUCAGGAGGAACACCAGUGGCGAAGGCGGUUCUCUGGGCCUUUCCUGACGCUGAGGAGCGAAAGCGUGGGGAGCGAACAGGCUUAGAUACCCUGGUAGUCCACGCUGUAAACGGUGGGUACUAGGUGUGGGGUCCAUUCCACGGGUUCCGUGCCGUAGCUAACGCUUUAAGUACCCCGCCUGGGGAGUACGGCCGCAAGGCUAAAACUCAAAGGAAUUGACGGGGCCCCGCACAAGCGGCGGAGCAUGCGGAUUAAUUCGAUGCAACGCGUAGAACCUUACCUGGGUUUGACAUGGAUCGGGAGUGCUCAGAGAUGGGUGUGCCUCUUUUGGGGUCGGUUCACAGGUGGUGCAUGCCUGUCGUCAGCUCGUGUCGUGAGAUGUUGGGUUAAGUCCCGCAACGAGCGCAACCCUUGUUCACUGUUGCCAGCACGUUAUGGUGGGGACUCAGUGGAGACCGCCGGGGCCAACUCGGAGGAAGGUGGGGAUGACGUCAAGUCAUCAUGCCCCUUAUGUCCAGGGCUUCACGCAUGCUACAAUGGCUGGUACAGAGAGUGGCGAGCCUGUGAGGGUGAGCGAAUCUCGGAAAGCCGGUCUCAGUUCGGAUUGAGGUCUGCAACUCGACCUCAUGAAGUCGGAGUCGCUAGUAAUCGCAGAUCAGCAACGCUGCGGUGAAUACGUUCCCGGGGCU
rnacentral:rRNA from 1 species